GACGAACGCUGGCGGCGUGCUUAACACAUGCAAGUCGAGCGGAAAGGCUCCUUCGGGGGUACUCGAGCGGCGAACGGGUGAGUAACACGUGAGUAAUCUGCCCCCUACUCUGGGAUAACGUUCAGAAAUGGGUGCUAAUACCGGAUGUUCAUGGUCUCUCGCAUGGGGGGUCGUGGAAAGGGUUUCUGGUGGGGGAUGUGCUCGCGGCCUAUCAGCUUGUUGGUGGGGUAAUGGCCUACCAAGGCUUUGACGGGUAGCCGGCCUGAGAGGGUGACCGGCCACACUGGGACUGAGACACGGCCCAGACUCCUACGGGAGGCAGCAGUGGGGAAUAUUGGACAAUGGGCGGAAGCCUGAUCCAGCAACGCCGCGUGAGGGAUGACGGCCUUCGGGUUGUAAACCUCUUUCACCAUUGACGAAGCUGCAUCUUUUUGGGUGUGGUGACGGUAGGUGGGGAAGAAGCACCGGCCAACUACGUGCCAGCCGCCGCGGUAAAAC
rnacentral:rRNA from 1 species